AUGGCUCUGAUCAGAUGUUGCCUGGAGGCGGAAGUACCUGACGUCUUCAAAUCUUUACGGAAGUGCGCUGACCCUGGCUGCUGUUGCUGGUGCUGUUCUGCAUUACGCCCACGAUAUAAAAGACUUGUCGACAAUAUCUUCCCAGUCAACCCUCAGGAUGGCUUGGUCAAAAAUAAUAUGGAAAAAUUGACCUUUUAUUCCUUAAGCAGUCCUGAAAAACUAGACAGAAUUGGGGAAUAUUUGUUUCAAAGGGCUUCCAGGGACAUUUACAGGAGAAGAAAUGGAUUUGUUGUUAUUGCUAUGGAAGCAAUGGAUCAACUUUUAGUAGCAUGCCACGCACAGACAUUGAAUUUAUUUGUUGAAAGUUUUUUAAAAAUGGUACAGAAGCUGUUAGAAUCAACGGAUCCCCAGCUACAAAUAUUGGCAACUCAGUCUUUUGUCCGAUUUGCCAACAUCGAGCAGGAUACGCCGUCUUAUCACACACGUUACGAUUUCUUUGUAUCAAAAUACUCUGCGAUGUGCCACUCCAAUAACAAUGACCCUGCAAUCUGCAAACAAAUCCGGCUUGCUGGAAUUCAGGGAUUACAAGGUGUCGUAAGAAAAACGCUUUCCGACGAUUUGGUAGAAAAUAUUUGGGAACCUGUUCACAUGGAUAAGAUCGUUCCGUCGUUGUUAUAUAACAUGCAAAAUUCAAGAUAUUCGAAUAAAGAAGAUGCAACACCAGACAGUCCAACAGAAGAAAGAACUGAUCCACCACAGUUUGCCGAAACUUGUAUGCGUGAACUUGUUGGACGAGCAUCGUUUGGUCACAUUAGAUGUGUUAUUAGACCAGUUCUAAGGCAUUUAGAUAAUCACCAAUUAUGGGUUCCUAAUUAUUUUGCGAUCCACACGUUUAGGAUAAUUAUGUUUUCUAUUCAGUCCCAAUAUUCUUAUACGGUUGUAGAAGCGCUGAUGAUUCAUCUCGAUGAUCAUUCAAAAUCAUCCCCAAAGAUUCGGACGAGUAUCGCGGAUACAUUAUCUAAAAUUAUUUCAAUAGCAGCCGGCGAAAGUGUCGGUCCGUCUGUGUUGGAGAUAAUAAAUUCUUUACUAUCCCAUCUUCGAGUUAGCGUAACAAGAAAUCAGUCGUCUAGUAAUGACGAACAGUUAUAUCAGGAAGCACUUAUUAAUGCCCUUGGAGAAUUCGCAAAUCAUCUUCCGGAUUAUCAGAAAAUUGAAAUUAUGAUGUUUAUUAUGAGUAAAGUCCCCUACAGUCAACCGGAUCGUAUUGUUUCGGUUGGGAAGGGAGAUGUAUUACUUCAAAGUAUCCUUCUAAAAUCUCUAUUAAAGGUCGGUACAAAAUAUCAGACUAUACAUCUGAAUACAACAUUUCCACCAAGUUUUCUGGAACCGCUGUUAAGGAUGUCGUUAGCAGCGGAUGCUGAAAUGCGACUUUUAGUACAAAAAAUCUUUCAUACUUUGAUCGACAGGCAUCAGAAUAUUACAAAACUUGCCAAACCUACAGUAAAUGUUGCGCAACUUGAUUUGACAAUCGAAAAAGCAUCACGACCAGAUGUUAUCUUUAUUCGUAAACAUGGCCCUGAAAUUUAUUUAGCGUUAUAUGAAUCACUAGAAAUGGCAAGCAACAAAGUUGAAAACGUGGAGUCCAUAUAUACAACGUUGGCAUUGCUCGCCGUGGAAUUGGCUUCGGAGGAAACAGUAUUAGAGCUGCUAAGAUUAGUACUCAGUCUUCAAGAUUUAGCUUUAACGAGUGGCCAAAUCAGUAUUUCGCUGAAAUUUAACUUGCACGGCAUUGUAAUCAGUUUGCUGGUACUAAUAUCAUACGUUUGUAAUAUUACUUCGCUCAUGGAUUAUGCAAACAAAAUUGUAGAAAUACGACGAAAGGAAGCACCGCAUCUUUUACCUGAUUUGCACUCUCAGUAUGACACUGGUUUAUCUACUAGAUUAACCCCGGCUUUAUUAGUUGAUCAAACUGUUUUAAGCGAAUGCUUGAAAGGAGCUGGUCUCGACAGUGGAAAAUUGCAACAUGGAUCUGGUUAUAGUACGGUUUCGCUACAACAUCGACAUUCAUGGGUUGAUAGUGCUGGACGAAACUCGUUAGCUGAUAUUAAUUCCGGUGCCACGGAAUUGGACAGCGGCGGAUCAUCUCCUGGCGUUCAGAAGAAAUUACAAGGCGAAGAAUUGACUUUCGAAAGUAUGAAGAGAAUUCUGACGGAAAAUAAUAACAAUCACAUAAUAGCGGAAGAAAAACGGAUACAAUUAUCGCACCUCUUUAGAAACGCACCAUUCCAAGACUUGGUAUCAAAGACACAACCAAAGCAUGACGUUUUACAAAGUAAACUGUCAGAAAUAUUCAAUACAUUGUCUGUCGAUCCACGAAAUGCAACUCAAGGAGGACCACCGACAGAUACCAAGCCAAAUCAAGCGCCGGCUUACGAAAUACAUUUUCCCGAAUUAUUUGUCUAUUAAAGCUUAUUUGUGUAGCUGCUGCUGUGGAUUAACUCUACUGUGUUGAACGAUUAACUACGAUUGUCGUGUGACACCUAUAAUUAACUUGUGAUUGCGAGGUAUGGUAAAAGAGGGACUGAUAAAAACUUCACGACUAUCAUACCACCUACGUUCUGUGCAUGCAGACUGAUCCUCAUCUCUCCCUUUUCCAAUCUUCAAAAUUAAGGAGAGAAGCAAACAAACUGGGCGACGUAGAGGAAACGAAGGAACGAAAUAGAUAACGUCCCUGGAGAGAGAGAAAUCCAGUUCCAGGCAAACUGUCUUGCCGCUGGUUCAAAGAUAGUUUCCAGUCGAGAUUCCCCGGGAGUUAGGCCAAACCGCGUUUUCAACCCAAACGUCUUCUGUCCUCCAGCGUGGUCGGUUUUGCGCCAAUUGAGAAACUUAAUCUACAAUUACAUAUUUUCUGUUUACAAGAAUAUUUUACAACGAAUGGAAGAAUUCGAAAUGGAGAUCUAUUCAUUGUUUAUAUACAUACGAUACGUAACUAUUUAAAGAGAAAAGAUUUUAUGACGCGAAACUUGGUUCACGUCCCACGAAAAAGUUUCCCCUGUUUGUGACACUCGAAAUGAUUUAAUGAAGCUGGGGCUGGAUAUCAAAAAACUUUCAAGACAAUAUCUCAAGGAGAUGUAACCGUGUAGCUCUUUAAAAAAGUUCACAAGUUGGAAUUAACUGAAACUUUAUGACUGGGUUGGCUUUCUUUGCGUGACGAGCACACUGGCUUGUCUAUGAAAAACCUUGGAUAUAAGCUACCCCUUCUAUACGAUAAUCUUCCACAGAACUUUUCGUUCUGACAAUGAACUUACGUUCGAGUGUUAUGCAGUCUAAACGGUAUGUAAAAACACGGUGAUUAUGGUAAACUGUGUGUGCGUAAGUAGGAUGUUAAUAAACACAAGUGGCGUGAUAAUUCAGCAUUAACAUAAUAAUUGUGUAAAAAGUAGAGUAAAUUAAUAACAAGUGAGUUUUAUCGUAAAGAGAGUGCACAUAGCAAUCCUUAUCUAAAAUACGUAGUUAUAGACGCAAUAUAGAUAGACUUUUCUUAGAAAUGAAAAUUAAUAAACAAGGAUUUGAAUAAUAUUAGACUUGGUAGGAACAGAGGUUAAGGCCUAAAAAACCUGACAUUAACUUUCCUCAUUCAAAUGAUACGAUAGGCUUCCUUUGUAUGCAGUAAAUUCACAUUCAGUUUAACACGCUUCUAAUCAGAAUUCUUUGCAAUUGUUUCAAUAUCUCAUUUCAUUUCACCAGAGUCACUGCUUUCAGUUUCGAUACAAUUUUCAACAUACAGGGAAUUUGAAAUAUUCUUGUUAAUUCGUUCUUUAUUAACACAAAACGUUUCGUUAGUGAUUUAAAAAUCUUCAAAUCCAUUUGGAUAGAUUUAUCCAUACCAGAAAGGUGGUAAAUAUUGGUACUUUCGUGUUGUUAUUACAAUAAUAUUAAUUCCUGACAGUUCCAUUACAAUUAUUCAGAGAUUAAUGACUAUUAAACGACAUAUUCAUUGAUAAAUGAUAGUUUACCGCUAAUGGUAGUAAUAUGGUUGCCCAACGGCACGGGUCGAACCGAUCACACCAUUCAAAUCCAAUCAACGAAAUUAUCGUGACGAAACAUCGAAUCAGAUGUGUGUACAUAAAUACGUCUUUGAUAUCGCGGUUUUGCGUCAGCGGUCACCUGAUAAUGUCUGCAUCGCGAUUCGUGCAUAUUUAAUGAUUACGCGUUCACCGUGCCCGCGUCACGAAAAAAACCAAGGUUUCCGAAUGAUACAUAUGGUCUAGAUGAUAGCGUGAAUAAGAUGUUGCGUCUGCAAUGUAAUCAGUUCGUUGUAAUCAGACUCUUGUGUCAGGAGGCUGAGUCAGGAUAGGAAAAAAAUAUUCUGAGAAUCAAAAAUGUAUACUUUUUCCUUUAUUACUGCAAUAAUUUCCAAAUAUAAUAUUUCUUUUCAUUUUUAUUAUAGGCACCUUUCUUUUAGACAAUUGAAACGGUAAUAAUAAAAGUUCUGUUACGAGGUUUCCCGUUUAAUUAACAAUCGACCAUUGUUGAAAUUUGAUGCAUUUCAAAAUGUUUCUUUACAUAGUACACAAUAGCUCUCACACCGACCGUGAAACUAACAAAUAACUUGGCUGACGUCAACCAUAAUGGCACGUGAAAUUCUAUAUCCAGGGAAAUUACCGAACCCGCGUAUUUGCAAUUUAUAUUUAUUUACCGUGUAAUUGAUUUUGACUUGUGGAAAUAAAAUUCGGCGGUUUCGAUCGGUUUCACGUAUCCAAUCUUUUUGUCGGGGUUAAGAACAUCCUUCGAAACCGAUUCUUCAUUUCUUAUCGCGUUCCAUUUGCCAAGCAAUUGUGCAAUAUCCUUCGUAAUUAAAUUCCUAGAUAUUUACACGGUGAAAUCCGCGAUAUAAUUCUCCUCCAGAAAUGAUAUUUUCAUACGGCCCCAGAGGUAAUCGAAGACGUGUAAAACUGUAUGUACAGAAAAUCAGAUGCAAUUAUCCAAAGGUUUGCCCCGAAUCCAUUACCGGCUGUUUACAUUUCACUUAGGCAAAGUACAUCUUCAAGUAUUCAGCAGGAUGAAAUGUUGAGAAAACUGGGUUACAUCUCGUCGUACAAGAAACUUUAUUCCUUUAAUUUUUUUUUCUUAUACGUCGUCCUUUUUCACUGUGAAAGACUUGUCGAAGAUCUGAUAGGAGAAAAGAAUGAUUAUCUGUCAAAAAGACAAACCGUGAUGAUGAGUCAGGGAGAGAAAAUAAAUGAUGAAAAUGGAAUGAUAGAGCGAGUCAUUUAUAUGAAAUUCCACAAAAUAGGACAAAUUGGUUACUUGUUAUUUCGAUAUUCUUCAGAUAUUUUUACGUGUUACUGUAAGGAACGUAUUAUGUAUCGUGUAUUUUUCCUUGAAAAUAUAGUACGACUUUUAGAAAUAGGUCAUUCUGCAAAAGAGAGGAAGUGACACAAAUAAGUAAAGAUUCAAAGGGUUGAGAGGCGCCAUGGCGUCGCCGACAAGACGGCGAUUUCGAAUGACGUGCAUCGAUAAUGCCGUUCAAACAUCGCAGUCUAAAAUAGGUCGAAGCGACGAUGAGGAAAGAUUGUUUCGACUUUCUCUUCAUUAAAAUUUGAAACAAUUUGCAAUCAACCCCCUUGUUCCUUUUUAUCAUUUUCGUGUUGUUCUAUUUUCGUUCUAUCGUUUCGUUCAAAGUAUUAGAUACACUCCUUUGAAUUUUCACCGCCUCGUUGUACGAAUCUAUCUACUAUUGUAUUUCCCUGUAUACGUACCAUACGAAUUCUCAUUAAACGUUAAUUUCUCGAAAAUGAGGUGAAAUGGAUGUAAAUCGUUCUUGUUCCAUAGCAGUUGUGCAUUGCAGUAUCAAACAAAAAACAUUUCCAUGUCAAUGUUUAACGAAUGCUUGGCUGUCGAAAAACAUGUCCAUCAAGAGCGUAAUAUAAAAUUAGUUUUGUUAAAUUAAUUUAUUCCGGGGUCGUCAAAUAUUUGCUAGUUGCGCGAAACCAUUUUGUUCGUUGUUUCGUUUUAAUUCGCCCUUUUUACAAUGUGUAUCGAUUUCGAUUGACACACCCAAACAAUCAAGUAAUUACCUCGCCAUUUUCAGCCUUUCAUGUGCUGAUUUCUGAUUUUAAUACCGCAUGGCAAUACAUGGUCCGAUGAUCGAACAGUAAAUUCCUGUUUGACAUGGAGCUUUAAUUUAUUUAUUUUUAAUUAAUACGAGAAUCACUUGAAAACAGAAGAAUAGAAUACCUUUAGCAAUUUUUAUUUUACUCCAAAGAAAUUAGCUUACAGAUUUAUUUAAACGUAAAAUCAAUAUUUUCAAUAUAUUCUUAUGAAUACUACAUAUGUGUACCGUUGAAGUUGUUUGAACAGUGACCGUUUUAAAAUAAUCUCGAAUUCACGUCACAUGUUUUUCUAUGUCAAAUUAGAAACAUAAAUAUGGCUCAACUAAGAAAAGUGCCGAAGAAAAGUUGAUUUAUGCCAUUCAGCAAUAGCUAAAUCUUUCAGAUGUAAAUUCAAAUGACGUUUCACGUGAAAAAAAAAAAAUACUUGUGUCUGGUAUAACGAGAUAACAACGAACUAGUAGCGUCAGGAACAAACAAUAUUUUACGUAAAUGAUUUGUUGCCUGGGUAGAGCGAUGAAUGUUAUUCGUAAGUUCAUUCCCUUCGCGACGUAAAGGAUAAUGGUAGAGAAUGGGUAACUUUUCAAGCAAACCAUGCACGUCCAGAACGUGAUGGAAAAGUUUUGAUGGAUGCGUUCGUAUCGAAGGCUGCAAAACGAAUGUCCUUUUCACCGCAUCGUUUCUCAUUUCAAGGGAUGUGUAGAACGGAAAAUUAGAGAGUCCGGAACACAGAAAAAGUGGAAAAUGUUUCCGCUCAAAAUAACAGAAAUAUUAGUUUUACAAGAUUAGGUGGUAGAUCCUGGAAAAAUUAAAAUUCCCGACACACGCGUAUUGUAAAUUCUAAUUAAACAUGUUUAGUGAUUACUGCAAGUGCCACUAAUAGUAUAAUGUGCUUCUUUUAGAGAAUUCACUUUUUUAAACAGUUACUGAUUACCUAGUACAUUAAUGAAUAUUUAUAUAAUUUAUAUAACAGGCAACAUUUUGCACUCGAAUAAGUAAAAAAUUGAUCGUUUAUCAUAGAUAUCUUAACACUGCUUAAUUAAGAUAAAUUGACUCAUUAAUUUUUUCAUUAUGAGACGUAGGGAAGGGAUAUUAAAGAAACAAAUUACGUACAUAAAACACAUUUUUUAUUACAAAAAAUUAACACUGAAGGUGUACAUAUUACAACUUGUCAAUUCAUUGAUAUCGUCGGUUGCUAAGUUACUUUGCAAAUGAUUACUUGCAAAGUGGAAAAUUGACUUUCAUUAAACGAAAGCAAUUUGUCAAAGGGGCAUUCUUUUGAAUCGCAUAUACUUUAUUAUCUUUUAUUGUCAAAGAAACAAUUAAUUCUGGAUACACGAAUUUCUGUUACAUCGCGAAAUGCAUAAAUUAAAGAAAAACAUGUCUGUUCGACAUGAACAUCGAUAUGGAUCAUCCACCUUAUAUACCUUAUCUGAGAUCUUUUUUUUUUCUUUUCAUUACAAGCAGAUUUAUGGCUAUCUUUUAGUAUUCGUUCAAGUCAUCUCCUUUAAAAAAGAAAAUUACAUUCCUCAGUUCCUACUAUUGGAUAUUUUUCUGGUGCUCUCUCGAAUUUUGAACUUCAUAUAUUUCUCGCAGAUAAAGCGUCCGCCUUUUUUCGUGGACGGGACAAAAUUCGCGUACGAUCGUAAAACUUUACGAGUUUCGCUUUUGGGUCGAUCCACGCCAGCUUUCUGAUGCGAAAGCCUCGUCGUUUUCAGCACACCGCGUUUACAUUUAUUUAUUUUAUUCUUUUUUCGUCUGACCUACAGGUGCUCGCAACGAUGGUACAUUGUUAUUAUUACUUUUGGUCGAAUUGUAUGAAUUUCGCGCAGUUCUGUUGUUUGAUUCAAAUUCUAUCUUUUAUUUGAGCUCUUGUAAAAACACAAGAGGAACUUGAACCUUUAUUUUUUAUCGUAUUCACUAGAGAGUACUUGGAAAACCUUUGAAAAAAAAAAAGUAAUUUGAAUGAAAGUAAAUCAUUAAAU